rnacentral:rRNA from 1 species
GGCGCGCCCCGGGCGGGGCGGGGGCACGGGGGGAACGCGAAGAACCUUACCUACUCUUGACAUCCAGAGAACUUUCCAGAGAUGGAUUGGUGCCUUCGGGAACUCUGAGACAGGUGCUGCAUGGCUGUCGUCAGCUCGUGUUGUGAAAUGUUGGGUUAAGUCCCGCAACGAGCGCAACCCUUAUCCUUUGUUGCCAGCGAUUCGGUCGGGAACUCAAAGGAGACUGCCGGUGAUAAACCGGAGGAAGGUGGGGAUGACGUCAAGUCAUCAUGGCCCUUACGAGUAGGGCUACACACGUGCUACAAUGGCGCAUACAAAGAGAAGCGACCUCGCGAGAGCAAGCGGACCUCACAAAGUGCGUCGUAGUCCGGAUCGGAGUCUGCAACUCGACUCCGUGAAGUCGGAAUCGCUAGUAAUCGUGGAUCAGAAUGCCACGGUGAAUACGUUCCCGGGUCUUGUACACACCG